AGAGCGAAGCACGUUUGAAAACCACCAAAUAUGCCGUCUUUUCUGAUAUAUUUGAUAUUUGCCGCGUGCCUAAGUGAAGAUGGAGUUUCAUUUAUGCUGGAUGGACAGCCAGGAAGCAAUCAAGAAUAUACACAUGAGUUGCUUAAACUAGGGAACGAAGUAUCAAUUCUGAAGGACAUGCUGGACAAUUUACAUCAAUCAUGCCAUUCGUGUUCCAGUUCAAACGUUUUACCGACGCCUGCCUUCAUGGUCAAUUUAGUCAGACAACAAAGGAUGUACAUUGGACGCCUCAAUUAUUUUUGACCAGACCAUUCCAGAUAUCAGAGCGUCGAACGAUGUCAGGCAUGGGACUUUCCGGGCGCCUUUGAAUGGGACAUACACGUUCAGUUUAACCCUGAGUACACAGGCUACAUUCCAUGCGAGGAUCGUGCUAAAUUCCGUUGCCAAUAAAAUCGGAUACAUUUAUGCGAACACCACGGCUGACUUUAGUCAAAGAAGUACAAUAAUCGUCACCAAACUGGCUGCUGGCGAUGAUGUCUGGGUUACUAGCCUAAGACUAGGAACGAGCGAUAUUGAAGGUGGACAUAACGGGCAUCUGCAGUCGUAUUUCUCUGGGUUUAUUGUGAACUAAAACUAUCAGCAUUUAGUAUUUUGUUAGUUUUCGGAAAAUUGUUUUAAUCUCUCAACAAGUCAGAACUGAACCCGUUCGUUUUAAUUUCAGAAAUUUCUUGCGUUAUAAUUUUUAAUGCCUAUCAACAAUUCAACAAGUAUGUGUGAUGUUUUCUGUUACCGUAUAAGCUGCGUCAUAAUUUGUGUACACUGAUUACAAAGUGGAGUUCGUAUUUCAAUCCGCAAUCAACAGUAUAACCUCUUGAAGUUUAUAACAAUAAACAUACUAAUAGAAACGUGGUGGUAAAUGGUACACAUGUAAACAAGUACAGCGGACCUUGGAAUUUAAUCUUUAUCUCCGUUUCUGCAGUAAUAUCCUUUUUUUACGAAAUAUGUUCCAAAUCCAUAUACCAUUAUAAUAUUAUUAGUUUCAUAACAAUGGGAUGCAGCAUGACUGGAACAAAACAAAAAAAUUAUGUAUUUAUGUUUUUUUAUAAAUAUUAUUGAAACUGUUUUUAAAAUGAAAUAUUCUGUUUUGGACUACAUUAUAUUGCUUACUUUUAUAUUUUAAAUAGACGGGCAUCCGUUAUUGCAAAAAUGUUAUAUACUUGUCAAUAUUAAUGUUUAGUUGCUAAAUUGACUUUUUAUUAUGACACUAUUGCACAUUUACAUUGGAGAAGCGGACAUGUUAUUUUAAAGUGAUGUCUGAUAACCCUUUCGAUAACGCUUUUAAUUUCCACCCAUCAAUAACAUUGCUUAAUUCCGCCCACAUUUGAGUUCAUUGUGCUUGUUUGAAGCGUUCCACGUACUUAGUCCCGCCAACU